UUAUUUAAUUAAAUAUUCUGUAUACGGGUAUAGUUUAAGCAAUGACCUGAGCCAUUACCUUCGGAGCCGUCAAUACUACAUUCUUUAGACGAUAGUCUAAACUAAAUAAAUUUUUAAACGGUUCAGGAAUUCCGUGAAUCUUUUCAUAACCUGCACUAUAGUUUCACGCGUAUUAAAGAUCCGGCGGUGCCUGACAAAGCGCCGGGUGUGUGUUCAUAUCUGCCAUUUUAAAAUAAUGUUAAUAAAUGUAAUUCUGUCCACUAUGGCAAAAUAGGAUUUUAUUUUAGAUUUAGUGGAAUCUUUAACCAAGUCUCUGAUUAAGACAUGUGUAUACGUGCACAGAUGGUGACAGAGAAACUUAUAUAUGACGUUAAUAAUCUUUUAAAUGUUUUUAAGACGUAUUCACCCCAUUUUGGGGUUUUAUUUUUAAUUAAAGGCUUCUUAAAACAUGUGUGAAUAUGUGUAUAUUAUACAAAGAGUCUUAUAUUGUCUGCUCUGACAAAAAUAAAGUAUUUUUUAGGUUUAGGGGAAUUGACUGCGUGUGUCUUAUAAAUACAACUUGAUAAUACGUUUGUUUUGUAAAGAGACUUCUUUAAAGUCACGCAAGAAUAAAAUAUUUUAGUUGUAACUGGUUAAACUUAAAGCCGAUAUUUUCUAUCGAACUAGUCUAUUUUCUGUUCAGACACAAAGUUUUCUGAUGCUGAUAUUAUGUCAGUGUGUGUUUGUGUGGGGGUCGUGUGAUGUAAUCUUUGAAAGUUUAUGACCGAACCUUUUAUUGGGGAGCGACAAGAGAUCUCCCGGAAUCAGUUUGGAUGGAGCAGAGCUGUUAUACUCAAGUCUAUUGCGAAAUUGUCUAAACUGGUAUUAACUAUUCCUGGUAAAUCGCGGAGAAGAGUGGCCUGAACAAAAAAGUCAGACCGAGACUAGAACCUCCCGCAGCGUAACACGGAAAUCUUGGAACAAAAGAGACGCCGACUGGCUCGUGUUGUCCGGUUUGGAUAUCAGAGGCAAAGCGAACGUUGUGUGUACUAUUGCAAAAUAUAUAGCGGAUCUCCACGGUACGUUUAUCUUGCAUAAGAAAAUUGUUUUAUUUAGAUAUUUGUCCUAAUAACUUGUUUUUAUCUGUUUUAAAGGUUUGGAUAUCAGAGGCAAAGCGA